GUGCUUGCUUCAGCAGCACCCGUACUAAAAUUGGAACGAUACAGAGAUUAGCAUGGCCCCUGCACAAAGAUGACACACAAAUAUGAGAAGCGUUCCAUAUUUUU
ensembl:snRNA U6 U6 spliceosomal RNA